UCACCACUGCACCUCUGUGGGCACUGCUCCAGCUGAGGCACCCUGCCUGGCCCUUCUCCUGGUUUGGUCAUUUCCUACGCAGCCCUCGGAGUUGAUGGACGCCGUUUCCCACAGGACUGCUUCUCUCUGACGUCAGGGAAGCGUCUGACCUUGCCCACUCAGCCGGAAGCUACCUGAGAAGAGAGACUAUGUGUUCUGCAUCUCCAGCAUCGAGCCAAACAGUGUCCCACAGAAAACCUUUCACUGACAUGUGCUGACCGAAUACAGAAAGAGCUCAGAGCUGAGGUGUAAGGUUAGAAGAGGACAAUUAGCAGAAGCUUUCUGACUGGAAACACGGAACUCGUGACUGGUGACACAGUGACUGUGCCCUUCAUGUCCUGCCAUCUUCACCGGGCUCUUCGCACUAUGUGGCGCUGCUGCCGCUGCCUCUGAAUGUGUGCAAAUGCCCAUGAGCCCUUUCAGAUUUGUGUCCAUGGAGUAGGAAAGCUGAUUCUCAUUAAAAAAAUUGUUUAGACAA